CCCCAACACCCCCAGGAGCAAGAAGCAACCAAGCAGUUGUACCUGCUGAGCCCUUGAAUUCCCUGCUUUCUCGAUGCCUCUGGAGAUGUUCCUGGUGACCAAGAUGGGACCUGCUGGGACACCCCACUCGUUCCAGAGCCUGCAAAUGGGAUCCUGGGCAAAAUGGCAGAAGCCAGCAAAGGAGAAGAAAUUUUAGACUUCUGAUAACACUUGAAAGCCUCAAAAUACCAAUCGACAUCAAGUCUUUACAAGAACAGAAAUGCAGCUCUAGAAACAAUUAAAAGCUCACCUAUCUUUUUACCAAUCCCCAAACCUCCUCUAUUCAUCUCAAAAGACUU